rnacentral:lncRNA from 1 species
CUUCCCUUCCCUUCCCUUCCCUUCCCUUCCCUUCCCUUCCCGCUCAAACACCCCCGGGCACAGCAGCAUCUUGUGAGGUCCCGGUGCUGCCGAGCCCUGCGCAGGAGGAUCCCCGGGAUGUGCAGGGGAGCAAACCCCUCUGCGGAGGGGAUCCCAGCCCGGCCGGCGGAACGUGCCAGCGCCAUCCCGGCAAGGAGCAGCAGAGGCAGAACUGGCUGAACUCGUCCCACCGGUGACAUUCGGGAAGGGUGGCUGUGAGUGGCAUGCCAACCACGAUGUCCAGGCUCUCAGGAAUGCAUCCAGGAUCCGCCAGGGGAGCAUCGUUAGGCUGUCAGUCACUCCCCUGAGCACCUCGGGAUGCCGGCAGAGGAUUUCAAUCAAAUUCGUCAGAGCCGUCGUGUUUCUACAAGCUGGAAUGUGUGUCCGGGCCCGGGGACCCACCCAGGAGGGACGGGAAUGCCCCAGCUGCUCAUUCCGGGCUGGAUCCAAGAAGCCAGAGGGAGCUUGGAGCACGGCCAGGUGUCCUUCCAGGAGAAAAAGCUGCAGCUGCAACAGCCGCAUCCAGCCCCAGGAGUGAUCCUGCUCUGCAAGGCUGAGGAUUUUUGGAUGUUUCUGCAGCCUGCAGCGGGCACAGCGCUGUGCAGAGGGGCUGUGGGCACACACAGUGCCACCCUUGCUGCUCCAGCAGCAGUGACUGAGCUGGCACUGCCCAGGCACUUACAGAGAGCUGCUCUGGGGGAACAGCCACCCCUCACACGCCCAAAGCAGAGCCGGGCUGAGGGAAGCACUGCAGCAGCACCUGAGCCUGAAUUUCACCCAGCAGAGCCUCAGGCACACCCCGACUCACCCAGCACCCCUCUGCUCAAAGAGGAAAAUAACCACAGGCUACAGGCUGUGAGAAAAUAUACAGGUUUUUUUUUAUUUGACAAUUAACAAAAGAGGGAUCGGAAUCUCGGCUGUAAACAUUGAUAGCUCCUUUCUGAUCACAACGAGCACUUUCCACCAACAUCCCUUUGUAUGGCCUGAUCCAGCCAACAAUGCUGAGCCGACUCUGUCAGGGCUUUUGUCGCUCUGCUCAGGGUCACAAAUCCAGAGGCAGCUUAUUCACCACACACCCCCAGCAGGACCAGCCACCCACACAGAAGACAGCUGAGGGACUGAGAGACUUCAGAGCUGCUUCCAUACACGAGACACACUUGGAAAAGGCAGGAGAUCAUGCUGGGUUCGGGCAGAGAGAGGGAAACGUCUCCAAAGCCAGCUGGUCUGGAGAGAAAUGAGCCCUGCAAAAGGCAGAGCCUGCUCAAGCAGGGACAGGGACUGUGACAGUGCCAGCCCAGCCUGAUCACCCCAGCCCCGCUGUCAGAGGGAAGCUCUGGCCCAGGACUGUGAAAAUUUGGAGAUGCAGAGGCAGCAAGUUUGUCCCCAAGAGGGACUGGCACAUGGUCAGCUCCAUUGUUGCAGUGGAACCAGAACUGCCUGGAGCUUGACAGGGGGAAGUGAAACUUCAUCUUGGGCUGGAGGGCGGCCAGGGCUGGAGGAGCUGCACCCGCUGCCAGCCCUGCACAGGGCCUGUCCUGGGACAGACCCCUGCCAGCCCCCAGCCUCUCCCUGCCGUGGGUCAGCUGCACACCAGGACUGAGCCUGAGGGCUCCAGGCACCUCUGGGUGCUCAGAGCAGGGGAUGGAGCCGAGGAGAGCCAGCAGGGAGGGUCCCAGUGCCACCCCACCACGGCCAGCCUCCCCCUCCAGCAGCAGGGAAAGGGAAGGUGCACAACACCCAAGAACAGCAUUUAACACAGAAACCCCCCAAGCUGCAGGAGGGACCUGGCGAUGGCCACGGCGCUUCCCGGGGCUCAGAGCUGCUCUGGCACCGAGCAGACCCAGAACCAGGGGCUCAGCUGCCCCUUUCCAGGUGCCCAGAUGGUUCUGAGCCUGGUUUUUGGUGGGAGCAGGGCCAGGUCAUCUCCUCGUCACACCGCCCGGAUGGACAAGCAAAUAAAAAUAAUCAACAAAUUUGAAUACACUGUAUUUAUUCGUAACAGAUUCUAAAGAAUCUAGUGAGUCUAUGUCAAGCCCAUCGCAUGACAAGUGAUACAGGUGUAGGAAAAAAGACAUUUAAAACAAACAAAACAACGGAAAAAAAAUAUAUCAAGUGCCAUUCAAGCUACUGGAAUCUUCCAAUUGCCCCCUCACAGGAGGAGGCAGCACAGUAUCACUGCAAGGUCUAGAAAAUUCAGGUUCAAGCCACUCACAAGAGUCCCACCACACACACUCCAUAAAUCCAAAGUGCAAUCUCAAUGGUAGGUCGCCCUGUCGAGCUGUUGGCUGUAGGGGAUCUGCCUGGACAUCUCAAAGGGAAGGAGGGAAUCUCAGUUUAGUGUGUCUGUGGGUAGGAGCAGCCUGUAAAAAACAUGCUACAUGGCAUCUAUGUUCAGUUCCAAAUGCAAGAAAAACAAUCUCAUCUUCCUCAAAGCCCGGGAAGUGGCACAGUUUGGCUCCCAAAAGCAGCCCCACAGCAGUUUUACCUUGCAGGGGACACCCCAAGCUCCCAGCAGAGGGAUGAGGCUGGGGAGGGCCAUGAAGGCAGAGCUGAGCUGCAGGGAGGCAGCCAAACCUGCAAUCAGCACAGGGGCAGCGCUGCAGGGAGGCAGCUAAACCUGCAAUCAGCUCAGUGCCACUCCCCAUGCAGGGAGCAGAGCUGGGCCAGCUCAUACCCAGCGUCAGAGCCACCCCCACCCCCCUUACUGCCCACCCACAACGCCCCCACCCCAAAAAACGUACCAAUCUGGCUAUACACAUUCCAAGGAUCUAGUCUUUAUUUCAAUCUGCCCAGCUAUUACAGUUUUGUCACAAAAAAAAAAAAAAAAAAAAAAAAAACAACCCCCAAAAACCACAAGUUAGUAAAGACACUCGAGGAUCAGCACCAGGAAGCCGAGGUGCCCCCGGAGCAGCAUCCCUAGGGAAUGCCAGCUGCCUGCCCUCCCUGAAAUCAGAGCUCUCUGCGGGCAGGGCAGCCCUGGCACCUCCGAAAAACUUCUGUGCUCCGGACACUCAACAGCUUCAAAGCCACAUUUGGACUGAGAGAGCCAAACCCUCAAACACCAGAGGGUCUGUUUAGAAGACAUUUUUUCCCUAAGGCCAACUAACCUCACCCCCUUUCUGCCCCCAGGCUCCAUUUCUAGCUAGAGAAUGAAUUUCAAAUGCUUUCAGUGGCUCACACAGGGAAUACCGAGCUGGGAAUAGGCUGCUUUGGAGGUGGGACCUGCCCAAGGGAUGAUCUCCAGCAUGGCAGAGGCCUGUCCACCCCCCUGGAGGACAGAGCAACAGCUGGAAAUGACUGACCAGUGACCUGGAUGGUUUGUGCUUCAAAGGACAAGCCUCACCUUUCCCGAUGGCCCAGCUGGCCCGUGGCUUUGUGCAUUAAAAUCACACUGCAUGUCAAAAAAAAAAAAAAAAAGAAAAAACGAAGAGCAGCAUUUCAAAUUCCCCUAGAAAAUACAGGAUUAGGUAUGGCAGCCUGGGGCAAGCUCCUGGACAAAUCACCUGCCUCAUCGUUUAGAAACUCUACUGUAUUUUGGCACUGCAGACUUGGGAGCUUGAAGAAAUCCACGUGUAGGACCCUGCUGCCUUUUUUUCAGCAAGCCCUGCACAGCAUUUUCCACCAUGCACUCCCCCCUCCCCAGUGCUCCCAGUUUCAGCCAUUCCAACCCCCCCGGGCUGUGCAGCCCCACUUUGGCAGCUCUUUGCUGGUCCUUCACAGGCAGCAAGUGCUGCCCCAGCCCCUCAGCGACACAGGACCUGCUCUGGCCUCAGCCAGGAUAAGAAAUGAUCUGGCGACCCUCCCCACCCACGACAGAAACAUUUUCCUCUUCAGACAUUCCCCACUCAAGCUCUGGGCCAUCAGCCCCCGCAAAAAAUAAUAAAGUUUACAGUACAGUUGUGUUUCUUUUGUUACAGGCACUUAAACAGGAUUCUUUGGUCCUUCAAAGGAAUUAGCCACCCUGGCUUCUCUUGGCAGAAACCACAAGUUUGCACACCCAUAACACCUCCUGCACUAAAAAAACCCCACAAUUCAGAUCCAUUUCAGG